AUAAGGGGUGAUUCUCCUGUUCUGAUUUUGCAAUUUGAAAUUAUCACAUCCUUCCUAAAGCAAACCUCGGCAAAACAACACCACGGAGAGUUACCAAGAGACUCUUCAGUGUCUAACAGAAGAAGGCUAGCAAUGCAGAGAUUCGAUUAUCUGCUUCUCUGGUUUGACACAACUACACAAAAGCCUUCACAGCCAACACAGGAAAGAUUCCUGGCAAUACAGUGUUUGGUUUGAAUUUCAAAACAGCCUUGAAAACCGUAGACCAUUUAUUAAAAUGAGCCUUGGUUGAUGUAUGUUUGGUUUGUGUGUUAAGUGCAAGUUGGUUCGUGUAUUAUUUGAGCUGAAUAUAUCUCGAGUGGAUUUAUCCUUCAUCAUUCAUGAGCUAUUGAUUGCGGUUGAGAAGUGUCCGUUGUUGUGUGCUGAGUGCAUUGAAGAGCGGAGGUGCAUCAGAUUGAUCAGGUUAGUAAAUGUAGUUGUAAGGUAUGUUAAAUAUUUUCAGGUUGGAGGCAUGGAUGUAGCGUUUUCAUAUAGACCAGGAAUGGAGAGUGGUGUUGAAGAUGCGUUGAAGAUGGGCAAGGAAAGGUUGAAGCAGGAAGAGGCGUUGAAGAUGGAGAAGCCAAGGUUGAAGACAAAGUUCUGUAUUCGGUUCCAAAAGCUGUAUCUGGUUCCAUUUCUCAGAAGAAAAAUAAUGAAUGUAGUGUAUUCGGUUACGGGAGUGCGUAUUCGGUUACGGUGUAGAGUGAGAGGAAAGUUGGGUGGUGUAUUUGAUUCUUCUUCGUUUAUUCGGUUCCAGCUUAUUGGGUGAGCGUGGUGUAGAGCUGGAUUCGGUUACGAGCUGCCUUAUUCGGCUCCAACAAGCUUCAUCGUUCUUCGAUGCUUCAUUCAUUCCGUCAUUUGAUUGUUAACAUGGUUGAUGUUGCGCGUUGUGGGCGUGAAGAACAUUGAUGGACAUGUAGAGGUCCAUGGAGCAGUGCAUGUAGGAGGCCGAUAAUUCAUCCGGCCAUGGGAGUGGUAGGAGUUCGGUGUAUGUCAUGACCCCUAACGUUUUGAUUGUGUUGCAGGUUUUACGAAGGAUAACUAGGGGCUUGGUUUGCUGGUGAAGGUGUUGAAGACUGUCGUGGUCGUUGGUGGAGGUGUUGUCAAAGAAGACGACGGUGUGAAGGUGGUGGACAUUCAUGAGGUGACCAUGAAGGUGUUUGUUGGUCUUGAAACCUUGUUAACAAUAUGUUAUAAUGUUGCAGGUUAUGACAUGCAGUGGAGUUGGAGAUUGAGAGGAGUUUGAUGCAUUCGUGGAUUUGGUGAUUCAUUAUGUGGUGGUGAUUGGAUUUUGAAACCAAGUUGCAAAAAAUCAAUCAAAAGUGUUCAAGAUAGCUUCUCGCUCUCUUCUUCUUCCGUAAUGAUAGCACUGAAAGACAGCGACAACAACUAUCAUAGUAAAACAGGUAUUUUAGGUUUUCUUUGUUAGAGUGGUUCCAUUCAAUAAUAAUUGGGGUGCAGGAAACAAAAGAAAGAAACCAAGGAGAGGGUUUGAUAGAUCAUUUUAAUUUGGUUUAAACCCUUUAGUUGUUCCUAUUUACGUGGAUGUUUUCCAUUUUGAUCACAUUCUUAUUAGAAUCCCCAAUUGAGUCCUUAUAAGUCGUAAUUUGAAUUAAUUGAGCCCUUGUUGUUAAAUUGAGUUAACGAGAUUAAGUUUUUGCACAGGUGAAAGGAUGACUUGUUAAUUUCUUUAAACGUGGCAGAUUUAGAGUUGAAAUGUGGCAUGGAUUAGGCCUUUAUGAGUGGAAUUAUGUAAAAUGUAAUAUUAUAAAAUUAGGGAAUUCUAAAAUGGGAUUUAGGGUUCAAUCAAAUUGAAUUUGGGAUCCUCAAGGAGCUCUCAGAAUUCAUCCUUAAACGCCUCGACAAUAAAAGUCCCGUCGUCAAACAAGGCUUUGAGAUUGAUCAAGUAUGCGGUUGGAAAGUGUGGUGUAGAGUUUAGAAAGGAAAUGCAGAGACAUUCAGUGGUAAUUCGGCAGUUGUUACAAUACAAGGGUCAAUUGGAUCCUCUAAAAGGGGAUGCACUCAAUAAGGCUGUUAGAGACACUGCUCAAGAGACUAUCUUUGCUAUUUUUUCUGCAGAUGAUAACAUCAGCAAGCCACCGUCUUCGGCUUCUGCGUCCGCUGAUCUUAAUAGACGGAUCGAAGGGUUCGGGAACACCAACUAUCUAGCUCCUUCUCAGGAUAAGAAAUCAUUUCUCAAUGAGGUUGUAGAUAUUGUAAGUGCAACCAUUAAGCAAGGACUCAGUGCCUUCACACAGGGCCAUUCUUCGCUUCCCAAAUAGAAUCCCAAAUUCAAUUUGA